GCAAGUUGUGAUUAGCCAUUUGAACCAUACCCGAUUGGAAAACGAAAACCCGAUUCGCAAAACACAUAAGUAGAAGAAAGAAGAACCUUUACUCUUCAAAGUUCAAACCUCACAAUCAAGAAAGCCCUAGAAUCAAAGUCCUUCACUUUUCUUGAAUAGCUUUGUUGAAAUGGAGAAGGAUCAGAAGGUAGCAACUGAAGACCCCAAGGUGGAUUUGUUCGAGGACGAUGACGAGUUUGAAGAGUUUAACAUCAAUCAAGAGUGGGACGAGAAAGAAGAAGGAAAAGAAGCACUGCAGCAAUGGGAGGAUGAUUGGGAUGAUGAUGAUGUCAAUGACGACUUCUCUGUGCAGCUGAAGAAAGAACUGGAGAGCAACACCGGGAAGUAGUUUCAUUAUGUUCGCUGUAUUUUCAGAUAUGGUCUGUCUUAAAAAGAUUGUAGUUCACUAAAAUACCAUCAUGUAGCUGGUUGCCAUCUAACAUUUAUCACUUGCUACAGUUGUUGCACUCUAGUAUGUUAAUGAUUUUCUUGUAUAUC